rnacentral:rRNA from 1 species
GACGUAGGGCGCGAGCGUUGUCCGGAUUUAUUGGGCGUAAAGAGCUCGUAGGCGGCUUGUCGCGUCGUCCGUGAAAACCCACAGCUCAACUGUGGGCUUGCGGUCGAUACGGGCAGGCUAGAGUUCGGUAGGGGAGACUGGAAUUCCUGGUGUAGCGGUGAAAUGCGCAGAUAUCAGGAAGAACACCCGUGGCGAAGGCGGCUCUCUGGUACAUGACUGACGCUGAGACGCGAAAGCGUGGGGAGCAAACAGG